GACGAACGCUGGCGGCGUGCUUAACACAUGCAAGUCGAACGGAAAGGCCCUGCUUUUGUGGGGUGCUCGAGUGGCGAACGGGUGAGUAACACGUGUGUAACCUGCCCUUGACUUUGGGAUAACUUCAGGAAACUGGGGCUAAUACCGGAUAGGAGCUCCUGCUGCAUGGUGGGGGUUGGAAAGUUUCGGCGGUUGGGGAUGGACUCGCGGCUUAUCAGCUUGUUGGUGGGGUAGUGGCUUACCAAGGCUUUGACGGGUAGCCGGCCUGAGAGGGUGACCGGCCACAAUGGGACUAAGAGACGGAGCAGUCGGCAACGGGAGGCAGCAGGGGGGAGUAUUGCACAGUGGGCGGGAGCGUGAGACAGAAGCGCCGCGUGCGUGAUGACGGCCUUCGGGGUGAGAACAGCUGUCGCCUGAGACGAAGCGUGAGUGACGGUAAUGGGUAAAGAAGCACCGGCUAACUACGUG
rnacentral:rRNA from 1 species